rnacentral:rRNA from 1 species
UCAGCUCGUGUCGUGAGAUGUUGGGUUAAGUCCCGUAACGAGCGCAACCCUUGUCCUUAGUUACCAGCACGUUAUGUGGGCACUCUAAGAAGACUGCCGGUGACAAACCGGAGGAAGGUGGGGAUGACGUCAAGUCAUCAUGGCCCUUACGGCCUGGGCUACACACGUGCUACAAUGGUCGGUACAAAGGGUUGCCAAGCCGCGAGGUGGAGCUAAUCCCAUAAAACCGAUCGUAGUCCGGAUCACAGUCUGCAACUCGACUGCGUGAAGUCGGAAUCGCUAGUAAUCGUGAAUCAGAAUGUCACGGUGAAUACGUUCCCGGGCCUU